GCGCUGCUGAAGAGUCCCAUACUAGGACGAAACGGCCGUCCAGUGC
rfam:Schistosoma margrebowiei strain Zambia genome assembly, scaffold: SMRZ_scaffold0000054